GAUGAACGCUGGCGGCGUGCCUAAUACAUGCAAGUCGAGCGAACAGACGAGAGUGCUUGCACUCUCUGACGUUAGCGGCGGACGGGUGAGUAACACGUGGGUAACCCACCUAUAAGACUGGGAUAACUUCGGGAAACCGGAGCUAAUACCGGAUAAUAUUUAGCUUCGCAUGAAGCAAUAGUGAAAGACGGUUCUGCUGUCACUUAUAGAUGGACCCGCGGUGUAUUAGCUAGUUGGUGAGGUAACGGCUCACCAAGGCAACGAUACAUAGCCGACCUGAGAGGGUGAUCGGCCACACUGGGACUGAGACACGGCCCAGACUCCUACGGGAGGCAGCAGUAGGGAAUCUUCCGCAAUGGACGAAAGUCUGACGGAGCAAUGCCGCGUGAGUGAAGAAGGUUUUCGGAUCGUAAAACUCUGUUGUAAGGGAAGAACAAGUACGUUAGUAACUGAACGUACCUUGACGGUACCUUACCAGAAAGCCACGGCUAACUACGUG
rnacentral:rRNA from 1 species